CAGCCGCCGCGGUAAUACGAAGGGUGCAAGCGUUAAUCGGAAUUACUGGGCGUAAAGCGUGCGUAGGCGGUUUGUUAAGUCUGCUGUGAAAUCCCCGGGCUCAACCUGGGAAUGGCAGUGGAUACUGGCAAGCUAGAGUGUGUCAGAGGAUGGUGGAAUUCCCGGUGUAGCGGUGAAAUGCGUAGAGAUCGGGAGGAACAUCAGUGGCGAAGGCGGCCAUCUGGGACAACACUGACGCUGAGGUGCGAAAGCGUGGGGAGCAAACAGGAUUAGAUACCCCCGUAGUCCCUGUCUCUUAUAA
rnacentral:rRNA from 1 species